CCAAAGGCCCUCUUUAGGGCCACUAAUAUACAUGUGUACGUUGAUU
rfam:Strongyloides papillosus strain LIN genome assembly, scaffold: SPAL_contig0000157